rnacentral:snoRNA from 1 species
AUGAUCAUACUUCAUAGGAUCAAUUCUAUAGUGUGAUUGCCGAGUCCCUCGUCAAGAAACUCGGAUAAAAUUCAACCACGAUGAGGACUCUUAGUGUGUCCUCUGGAGCGGGGAAGCGGCUCUUAAGUUCUGCUUAAGAGUUUUGAUGACCGUUCUGACUCGGUUUACCGAUGAUCAGAGGAGGAUCACACAGGCUGAGUGGU